rnacentral:rRNA from 1 species
GAAGGGACCUAGAGUAGUUCGGAAUUACUGGGCUUAAAGAGUUCGUAGGUGGUUGAAAAAGUUGGUGGUGAAAUCCCAGAGCUUAACUCUGGAACUGCCAUCAAAACUUUUCAGCUAGAGUAUGAUAGAGGAAAGCAGAAUUUCUAGUGUAGAGGUGAAAUUCGUAGAUAUUAGAAAGAAUACCAAUUGCGAAGGCAGCUUUAUGGAUCAUUACUGACACUGAGGAACGAAAGCAUGGGUAGCGAAGAGGAUUAGAUACCCUCGUAGUCCAUGCCGUAAACAGUGUGUAUUACGUUGGAAUUAUUUUCAGUCUCGAGGAACACGUAAACACACC